rnacentral:rRNA from 1 species
AUUGAACGCUGGCGGCAGGCCUAACACAUGCAAGUCGAGCGAGCGUCGGACGGGGGAGGAAUGACUAGGAAUCUGCCAGGUAGUGGGGGAUAACGUCCGGAAACGGUAGCUAAUCCCGCAUACUAUCACAGGAGCCUAGGGGGGCUUAGCUAGUAGGUGGGGUAACGGCUCACCUAGGCGACGAUCCCUAGCUGGUCUGAGAGGAUGACCAGCCACACUGGAACUGAGACACGGUCCAGACUCCUACGGGAGGCAGCAGUGGGGAAUAUUGCACAAUGGGCGCAAGCCUGAUGCAGCCAUGCCGCGUGUGUGAAGAAGGCCUUCGGGUUGUAAAGCACUGUCAGCGGGGAGGCGUUACCCGCAGAAGAAGCACCGGCUAACUCCGUGCCAGCAGCCGCGGUAAUAC